rnacentral:rRNA from 1 species
UUAAGCUAUAAAGAGCACAGGGCGGAUGCCUAGGCACUGGGAGCCGAAGAAGGACGUGAUAAGCUGCGAAAAGCCGCGGGGAGGAGCAAAUAUCCAUUGAGCCGCGGAUGUCCGAAUGGGGAAACCCACUUGAGCAGACCUCAAGUACCCAUGCGCCAAUCCAUAACGCAUGGGAGGGAACCCGGGGAACUGAAACAUCUAAGUACCCGGAGGAAGAGAAAGAAACAUCGAUUUCCCAAGUAGCGGCGAGCGAACGGGAAAGAGCCCAAACCACGGAAUUUAUUCUGUGGGGUUAGGACUGCAUAAUUGAUUUGCGAUUGAUAGGAGAACGGUCUGGGAAGUCCGGCGAAAAAGCGUGAAAGCCGCGUAUCCGAAAUCGAAAGCAACAUGGCAGGAUCCAGAGUACCACGAGACACGUGAAACCUUGUGGGAAUGAGCGGAGACCACUCCGUAAGGCUAAAUACUACCCAGUGACCGAUAGCGCAUAGUACUGUGAAGGAAAGGUGAAAAGGACCCCGGGAGGGGAGUGAAAGAGAACCUGAAACCCUGUGUUUACAAGCUGUCGAAGCACUAUAUAUGUGCGACGGCGUACUUUUUGUAGAACGGUCCGGCGAGUUAUGGCAUGUGGUAAGGUUAAGUACUUCAGGUACGGAGCCGAAGCGAAAGCGAGUGUGAAAAGCACGUUCUAAUCGCCUGUCAUAUACCCGAAACCGGGUGAUCUAUCCAUGUCCAGGAUGAAGUUGCCGUAAAAGGCAAUGGAGGUCCGAACACACAUCCGUUGAAAAGGGUGGUGAUGAGGUGUGGAUAGGGGAGAAAUUCCAAUCGAACCCGGAGAUAGCUGGUUCUCCUCGAAAUAGCUUUAGGGCUAGCCCAUGACAAGUCUGCCGCAGGUAGAGCACUGAAUUUCCUAGGGGGCGUCAAAGCCUACCGAAGAAUAUCAAACUCCGAAUGGCGGCCAGAUGGUGUCAUGGAGUCAGACUGCACGAGAUAAGUUGGGUGGUCAAAAGGGAAAGAGCCCAGACCCACAGCUAAGGUCCCAAAGUGCGUGUUAAGUGGAAAAGGAUGUGGGAUUUCGAAGACAACUAGGAUGUUGGCUCAGAAGCAGCCACACAUUAAAAGAGUGCGUAAUAGCUCACUAGUCGAGAGGUCCUGCGCCGAAAAUGUCCGGGGCUGAAACACGACACCGAAGCUUGGGAAUCCUACGGGAUUGGUAGAGGAGCAUUGAAGACGGGACGAAGCGUAACCGUAAGGAUACGUGGACUGUCUUGAAGAGAGAAUGCCGGAAUGAGUAGCGAGAAUGAAGUGAGAAUCUUCAUGGCCGAAUAUCUAAGGUUUCCAGGGUAAAGCUGAUCUGCCCUGGGUAAGUCGGGACCUAAGGCGAGGUCGAAAGACGUAGCCGAUGGACAACAGGUUGAAAUUCCUGUACUGCAUUAAAUCAGAACUGUGGGGACACAGAAGGAAGGCAUGAGCCGGAAAAGGAAAAUCCGGUGCAAGCAUGGGAGGGGUAUGACAGGCAAAUCCGUCAUGCAACCCGAGAAUGUGACGCGGAGCGAACAAAAGUAGCGAAGCAUGCUUACCGGCUGUCGAGAAAAGCCGCUAUUGCGUUUAAUGCACCCGUACCGUAAACCGACACAGGUGGAUGAGGAGAGAAUCCUAAGGCCGGCGGGAGAAGCAUUGUUAAGGAACUCGGCAAAAUGACCCCGUAACUUCGGGAGAAGGGGUGCUCUUAGAAAUAAGAGCCGCAGAGAAUUGGCCCAAGCAACUGUUUAGCAAAAACACAGGUCUAUGCAAAACCGAAAGGUGAGGUAUAUGGGCUGACGCCUGCCCGGUGCUGGAAGGUUAAGAGGAGAGGUCAGAGCAAUCGAAGCCUUGAAUUUAAGCCCCAGUAAACGGCGGCCGUAACUAUAACGGUCCUAAGGUAGCGAAAUUCCUUGUCGGGU